AUGGAGGGCUACAAGCUUUACAGGAGAGAUAGGCAGGGAAGGAAGAGUGGGGGUGUUGCCCUCUGUGUUAAGAAGCGGAUAGAUUGUGAAGAGUUGCCACUGAGAAACAGCCGCAAGCAGGCUGAGAGCCUGUGGAUAAAAAUUAAGCAUCAGACCAAUAAAGGGCACCUUGUGGUUGGGGUCUACUACAGGCUGCCCAAACAAGGGGAGCCUUUUGAUGAACCCUUCUUGCUCCAACUACAAGAAGCAUUGUGCUCACAGGCUCUCAUCCUGCUGGGGGAUUUCAACCACCUGGAUGUCUGCUGGAAAAGCUACAUGGAAGGCAAUAAGCAAUCCAGGAGACCCCUGGAGUGCACUGAGGACAACUUCCUUGUCCAGGUAUUAGACAAACCAACCAGAGGAGAAGCGUUUCUAGACCUGGUGUUCACCAAUGUGCAUGACCUCAUUAAAGAGGUCAAGAUUGGAGGCAGUCUGAGUUGCAGUGACCGUGCCCUGUUUGAGCUUGUGAUCUUGAGGGAUGUGGGCCUGGCAAAGAGCAAAGUCAGGACCCUCAACUUUAGAAGAGCAAACUUCCAGUUGUUCAAAGAAUUAGUGGAUGAGAUCCCAUGGGACACUGUCCUUAGGGACAGAGGACCUGAUCAGAGCUGGCAACUCUUUAAGGAUAUUUUUCUUAGAGUGCAAGAGCUCUCCAUCCCUGUGUGCAAUAAAUCAAGCAGGGAAGGCAGGAAACCAGUAUGGCUGAGCAAUGACCUCCUGGUCAAACUUAGGCAAAAGAAGGAACUGCACAGGCAGUGGAAACAGGGCCGUGUGCCCUGGGAAGAGUACAGAAACCCUGUCUGGACAUGCAGGGAUGAGAUCAGGAAAUCCAAGGCAGUGACAGAGCUAAACUUGGCCAGGGAUACAAAAAAUAACAAGAAAGGAUUCUACGGGUACAUUGACCAGAAAAGAAAGACUAGUGAGAGUAUAUCACCUCUGAAAAAUGUAUAUGGAGGACUGGUAACAACAGUCAUGGAGAAGGCUGAGGUACUUAACAACUUCUUUGCCUCAGUCUUCACUGGCAGUCAGGCUUCCCACAUCUCUUGA
rnacentral:lncRNA from 1 species